AUCGAUCGAUCAGCCCCGGUCGGUCGGACCGCGAGCAAACGCUGCGUCUCGCUCUCUCGCUCCCUUUUCCUCCUCCUCCUCCUCCUCCUCCUCUAAAGAAAGAAGAGCCACAGCUCGCCCUCUCCUCCUCCUCCUCCUCCCUCUCUCUCUCUCUCUCUCUCUCUCUCUCUUCGUCUUACACCUCAAGCCUCUCGUCUCUUCUCCGGGGACAAGCGAAAAAGGAAAAUAAAAAAAGAGUAAAUGCCUGCCCAAAAGCGCCCGCUUCCUCCUCCUACUCCUCCACCGGAUCACCAACUCCCCCCCUCCGAUGAGUCUCCGCCUGCUGACCCACCCCCGCCUCCCUCGUCUCUGCCGACACCGGCCGCUCAGCAUGAGCAGGAGCAGGGGCGGGAGGAGGAUGGUGGCGAUGGCGGCGAAGGGGACGCGGAGAAAGAGCCGCCAGAGGUCCCUCAAGAACAGGAUGCAGAUUCUGAUGGCCGAAAUGCUGGCGGCCAAUCGUCCGAUGAAGAAGACGAGGACGACGAUGAAGCCGUGAAACUAGAAUUUGUCCCCGUGAAGCUGGCGGACAUUCGAAAAGAAGUGCAAUGCCCUAUAUGCUUGGGGAUAAUUCGGAAGACAAGGACGGUAAUGGAAUGCCUGCAUCGCUUUUGCCGGGAAUGUAUUGACAAAUCAAUGAGACUUGGAAAUAAUGAAUGUCCUGCAUGCCGUACUCAUUGUGCCAGUCGGCGUUCUUUGAGAGAUGAUCCUAACUAUGAUGCUCUUAUAGCAGCCCUAUACCCAGAUAUUGAUAAAUACGAGGAAGAGGAACUGGCUUUCCAUGAAGAGGACAAAUUCCGCAAUAAGAAGAUACAAGCAUACAUAGCUGAGACAUUUCGACGACAAUCGGAAGCUCUUGGUAGGAGAAGGUCCACAUCUAAAGCUGCUACACCAUUUGGAAGAAGAUCACAAGGAAGUUACCGAAAUCAUCUGCGUGGGAGAGGUAGAAAUAUUGGUCGUGACAUGGCAGUUGCAGGCUCUGAUGAUGAUGAAGAAGAAGAAGCAAAUGGUAACGAUGGCACUAAAGAUUCCUCUUCUGCUGAUGAGCCCUCUCCUGACCGAAGACCAAAGAGAUGCAAGAGAUGGGGAGCACCGCGAUCUUCACCAGCUAGAACAGUGGGCAGUGUUGAUGUUGGAUCUGAGGAGAAUGAUGACUUUGAAGUCAACAAAGAGCCUCUUGGGACAUCACCUCUGCGAGCAGGAAACAGAGAUAUGCUUGCUUGGGGUAAGAAUGGCACGCGUAGUCAAACUAGACAUGGUAAUACUAGCGGUGCAAAUGGAAGGUUGGUCAAAGGUGGGCGCAUGGCCAAAUUGGUGGACUACCUACGCAGUUUAGAUGAUGCUGAUGAUGAGUUUGAUGUACAUUUGACCCUGGUUCCUCUGGAUGAUGGAAGUAUGCCAAAUUUGGAACAACCAUAUCUUAGCUGCCGGCCAACCUUGUCAAUCGGACAUCUUUGCCAAUUUAUUGCUCUUCAGACAUCUGUACAAGCUGAAGAGUUGGAGAUAUAUGCAAGGAAGCCUCGGAGUGGCACUCUCGGGGGCGGGUCUUCCAGCUCGAUGGAUGAUGCCCCUACUGUACCUUGCAUAGGCCUACAGAUACUGGAGGGACAUGAAUCUCUUGCAACACUUAUUGCUUCUUUCACUAGUGAACGAGGGGAGCUGUCGAUAAUGAUGUUGGACAUUGUGAGGUUGCUCCAUCUCCUCCUGACUCAUGCAACAUUGUUACACAGGGAGGAUGCUCCUGAUGAUGACAGGGAAGAAUCGAGUGCUCAAAUGCUGCUGCGUUCCACGACUUAAUCUACGAUUUCGUGCCUUCGAUCGCCCGCACCCCUAUAAAUACGUAACAGUUGUCCAGUCAUUCGCUUGUGCCAACUUCCCCCUUGCUCUUGUGGCGACGGUCGACAACUUUGGAAUUCGCUGCGGGCUUCGCCAUCGUCAUUAGCUUUCCAUGCCUUCGACACCGUCGAGGUCAAGUUGCAAGGUCACCACGCAAAAACACAAAAGUCAAGGAAUAGGAGGAGGCUUUACAAUGCACUAGUCGGAUCUUUGAUUACUCAAGGAGCAUACUUUUAAGCCAAGCUCAGAUCAGAUCAGCGGUGGGUGCUCUUGGUUUCACCACUAUAAAGCCUGCACAAGAGAAACAAUGCACGAGGCAGAAGAAACCAUGACAUGAAAAGGGUGUAAUAUAAUGAUGGAUAUGUAUAAUGAUACGAUACAAUCUGAUACCAGUCAUAGACGGUGG